rnacentral:lncRNA from 1 species
AGCCACAUGAAGAGUCGGGGAUCACGACCUGAGCCGAGGACAGACCCUUAACCAACAAGCAACCCAGGCACUCUUGGAAAUAUUUUUCAUUGUAUGACCUCACCAGG